rnacentral:lncRNA from 1 species
CUCCUCCCACUGGGGAACGGCCGCACGAAGCAAAUGUCAACUGACUCACGGCAGGGACGGUUGGACAUGAAAGAGUGUGCAGUGAUCCCAUCAGCAAACUUUUGUGCCUAAAAUUAUUCAUUCCAGGGGGAAGGAGUGCGUAUGAGAGCACAAGCUGUUUAGGGACCCUCGGCAGAACCGAUGAGUACAGACAGUCAUGACUACCUGUCAUCCAACACUGGAGUAGGCAAGACCUGCAGAUUGUCUUUCAUGGAAACUGGUGACCAGCAGGAGGCUCUGUGGAUUCACGUGGCAGGCUGGGAAGUUGGAGACUAUAGUUGGUUGUGCUGUACUCCUGGCAUCCACAGGGCUGGAGACAGCAAUGCUGGCCAGGUUGGGCAGUGGAAAGUGCUGGUCACCCAGGAGAUGGAGCUGUAUGAGCUUUCAGUCAAGGAACACAGCCAUUAACCCUGAUGUGUUCAAGUGAGAAGGACAAGAAACUUAAGAAGUCUGUGAGACUGGAAGGAAGAAGUUGAAUGAGAAGCAGAGAGCAGGAGACCAGGAGUAGAGGAUGGAGCGAAGGAGGAAGAAAGAGCGUUUGCUGAAGGGGAGCACAGGUCUGAUCAUCUGGCCCAGGCCUGUGGUUCCUAACGCAUGGGUCUACGUUCACUCUGGUGCAGCACCACAGUUGUGGCCAGAAGAAGCAGUGUGCACAACUUGUUGUUACCUGGCAGACACCUCCAUGAGCUAUCACACAUCCUCUGUACACCGGAUCUACAGAAGGUAGAAAAUAAGUAGGUUAGGCAAAUUCUCAAUUAUUUUACAUGUGGUUAGGAAGGCAAACCCAGUAAAAGUGAAAGUGCUGAUGGUUUUGUGAUUUUGUUUGUUUUGUUCUUUUGCUAGGGAAGAAAAAUAAUCUAAAUGUAACUUCUGGACAGAGGGCAACAGGCAAAUCUCAGAUAAUCUAUUAUAUUUUUUUUAGAUUUGGUCUUUUAUUGUGUCCUGGAUUUCCUGGAUGUUUUGGAUUAGAAGUUAUUUAUGUUUUGAAUUUGCUUUAACCAUUGUGUUAAUAUCUUCUAAAGUACAUUCUAUGACUAAAAUUUUCUCUUCUAUCUCUUGCAUUCUGUUGUUGAUGAUUGCAUCUGUAUACCAUGGACUCUUUCCUAGGUUUUUCCAUUUCCAGGGUUGUCUCCUUUUGUGUUUUCUUUAUUGUUUCUACUUUCACUUGGGCUGCUUUGUUCAAUUUUGUCACCUAGUUCAAUGUGUUUUUCUGUAUUUCUUUAAGGUAUUUAUUUGUUUCUUCUUGAAGGGCUUCUACAUGUUUACCUGUAUUUCUUUCAGUGAGUUAUUGAUUUCCUCCUUAAAGGACUCUGUUGUAUUCAUGAGAUAGAAUUUUAGGUCAGCAUCCUAUUUUUCAGGUGUGUUGGCAUAUUCAGGGUUUGCUGUGGUAGAAAAACUGUGUUCUGAUAGUAUAUUGCCUUCUGUUGCUAUGGUCAUGUGCUUGCCUCUUAACCUAUUGUUAUCUCUGGCAUAAACUGGCCUGGUUGUCUUUGUCUGGAGCCUGCCUCCUGUGUCCUUUUGCUGCUUCAGGACCUUUAUAAGGUUUUCAGACUGUGGGGUACAGUGUGGUGGUAAGCCUUUACACCAACGAUCUGUUGCCCUGGCUGCAGCAGAUCUCAUAGAAGGCCUUUAGACUUUGAGGUCUAUAUCCCUGGGUACAGCAGAUCUCCUGGGAGGCUUUCAGACUGUGGGUGUUCAGAGGGGCAGAUAAGCUGAUGAUCUGCUCUGCUGCCCUGGGUGCAGCAGAUCUGCUGAGAUACAUUUAGUCUGUGGAGUCUUCAGAGGGACAGACAAGCUGAUGAUCUGGCCCAGCAGAAGGUGCAGGCAGGAUGGGAGAUGUAGUUCAACUGGAGGGGAUGUGUCUUGAGUCUGCUGCGCUCCUCAGGGGUCCCUGCUAUUGCAAAUUUUUGGGAAACCCCCAUACUUGUUGCCCUGGGUGCAGCAGAUUUCUUGGCAGGCCUUCAGAUUGUGGGGUCUUCAGAAGGCAGACAAUCUGAUGAUCUGCCCAGGCAGAAGGCACAAGCCAAAAGGACUUUUAUCUAAAUCAUCUCGUGUGAAGGUAUGUUAAGGUUCAUCAAGUGUGUGCUAUAGUAGAAUCUACAGCAGUUUUUAGGACUUAUCUACAAAGAAGAAAGAAAAUCCUGCAGUGGCAAUGCAGACAAACUCUGAAUUGAAAGGAUAAAGAAAUACCUUUGGCUUGCCAGCACAAACCCAAACAACAGCAAAAGGUCCUUAACAACCUGAGGAAUCCAGAGAAGUGUUUUAGGAAAUGCCUGAUUAAUGCUUAUAUAAUGACAUUGACAAAAAUUGAUGAGCACAUUCAUACAAAAAGGAUAUGAUUUGAGUCAACAUUCAUUAGACACAUGUCUGUUCACAGACUGGUCAUCUCUGAAUGAAAGCAAAAAGUUGUUUUUACUCCUAGGCAUCCUCAAAGCCUCUCCGUUUUCUUGUUUUUGUUUUUGUCUAUUUUGCUCACUGUUGCUAAAGUUACCAUAUUCUCCAAAUGUUCCUUUAUCAAGUCACCAAAAUCACAGUGAGUGUAUGACCUUCUGGGUACUAGGUUGUGUGGUCAUGUCAAAUCGAAGUUUAAUAUUCCACACAGUCUGCAAAGACAGAUGUAAGAAAUUUUGUAAUAAUAUUUGUCUUGGUUCAUGUGAAUGGCUGAAUACAAUUCCUUAUUCUAUUGUGGAUCAACAGAUCAAGACUCAGAGAGGAAAGAUUUUACUUCCCAUCUCUGGUACAUCAAAUAUCGGAAGGUUUAGGAACAUCGUCUCCCACUGAAGCCAGACAAGACAUCCUUCUCCUACAUAGGUGUCCGAGACCAUGACUAUCCAGUGACACUACAAUGAUCAGCAUUCAGAUGAACUUUAGUCCACGGAACUCAAGAAAUGUCACAGCUUUAGCUUCCCUGUCUGGGUGGCUUAUGAAAUAUCUAAAUUCAGCUGCACAGGGGCAAUUCCCCUUAAAACCUUGGUUCAGCAAAAAAACCAGCAGCAAAGAGCAAGACAAUCAAACAUAAAAUUCUCAUUUUUCUGUUUAGUCUUUUACCACAGAUUCCACAACCAACUUACAUUCUACUAAAAUACCUUAUUCAUGUGUAAUUAAAGAUUAAAAAGUUCUUUUAUGAAUCACUUGGACACUUAACAGUUUAUCUGUUUGCAUAACCCCUCAUGUUCUAUGGGAUCCUACUUCCAGUAACUCAUUAUUUGGGAGUGACCUCUCAAAAAAGAUUUUUUUUUGUAGAAAAUCGAACUGAAAAUUGUCUCAAGAUAUUUGGGGAUGAUGACAAUAUAUUUUAUAAAGUUACUCAAAAAAAGGUCUGAUGACAUAAAGAUGCCUUCAGGUUCGCUAAAAACUGUUCAUAAACCGUGUGCUAUGAAAGAAGCCAUAGGUAACCACAGUGAGAAAACUUUCUCUAAUGAUAAUGCUGAAGAAUUAAAGAUUACAUCUGCUGCCCCUCAGAAGAAAGGUCCUACAGACAGCAGUGCACAACAGAGCAACUUCCACAUAUUGUAUGUAACAGUGUGAUCAAGUGGUAGAGGAUGACUGACGAAGGUUCCAGCCCUCUCUUUUUCAAUGAGCCUUUGCACCUCCCGCUUAGCCAUAGAAGACUAUAUUAUUACAAGACACUCCUGUUAUUAUAUUUUACUAUAUUAUUGAUUACAAACAGUUUUCACUUAUUAUGUUUAUUUUCUGCUGUAUAUUACACAUUCUUUAUUAU